CUACAAUUUUAUCCGGGUACUUGCAACAUGGAGUCCCACGAGAAGUUUCUCUUUGCGUGAUAUCGAAAUUAGUGUAGUUUUGUUUGAAUCAGAGAUAAAGAAGAUGGAUUUGUUGGGCAAUAUCCUGGACCGCAUGGAGACCCCUCCGGAGGUGGAGGAUAGGAGAAGGACGAAAGAAAUGGAGGAAACUUGGGCCAAAAGAAAUGAGAUGAUGGCAAAAAUGGAGGCACAAAGAAAAGAAGAAGAA